GCGAUCGCGAGGCUCCUAACUGACGCACUGCACGCCGUCCUCGCAACGAACGCCUAUCCAGAAGCCGCCAUAUGCGAAUGCUCCAGCUUACGACGCAUGCUUGGUACUGUGCAAUUCCGGAAGGGAAGUGGGCGGCAUUUCUGUCGGCAAGCAAUAACCGUGACAGCGUGCCCUCGCUCAAUAGUUUCAAUGUAAUCGUUGCUCGGGCACUAAUAUGGCAGUAUAUAAAUCACGAAGGCUAACGCCAUGGAUGCGCUCUCAUGGAGUUUGCCGUUGCGCCAGUGAGAAGCAGGCAUCCUUGGAUCACGGAGACGACAAAAGAUUGCCGAAGACUGAGACGCAGGAAAGGGUGAACUGAGAUGCUGGAGAACCUUUCGAAUGACACAACGACAACAUAGAACGAGAAAAACGAUAAUAAUAAUAAAGGCGGCUU